rnacentral:lncRNA from 1 species
UUCUCCAUGACUUAUUUCUAAUGUACUACGGUCUUGCUCCACUUCAGCUAACCUGUGAUGAGAUCUUGGAUAAAAACAAAUCCAAGCUCACGUCUACAACAAGGUUGUCCUCAUCAUCGUCAUCGUAGCAACCAUCAACCAUCGCAGUCCGCAUCGCCUACACCGGUGAACCUAGCUUCCUCUUGAUCUUUGAUUUCUUCUCUGAGGUCUGGGGUGCUUGCUCUGUUGCAGGUUUAUGUAAUCCUGACACGAUCAAUUUGCUGGUCAUGCAGAUGCAGGUGAAGUCGCGGCAGCAGCGUCGCCCCUGCAGCAAUCCCCAAAGUGCAACCCACUAGGGCCGCUGUACAUCUCGCCGGCAGAGAAGGUGACGCUAGACGAACUCCACGUUCUUGGGUUCACCAAGGGAAGCAAGAAGCGGUUAGGUUCGUGGUGAUGGUUUCUGAAGCGAUGCGGUUCACAGUGAUCUGGGAGGUCUUCAGCGGCAACAACCGGGAGAAGCAGAACGCCAUCACCGAGACGCAUGCAGGCAAAAUACGUUGUCCACUGGGCACAGCUAGCUCUUAGUGUGUUUCAGAUGGGAUUUAAGAAGCAUGCUGAAAAGAUGUUCUGGAGAUAUAUAGUUGAUUUUCUCAUUCGCCCAAACAUACGAUUC